GGGAAGUUACACAAACGACUGUUGGUUGAUAUUAUAAUACAAAAAAAUAUAUAAAUAAGAAACCACAUCAUUUUCAUAGUAUCAAACUUUAACUAAUAUACAGAAUAUUGUACACUUUAGAAAAAAUUAUAUUUGAAUAUUUCACUCUUAAUAAUUUGAAACUUAAUAAAGCAUUAAUUAAAAGAAGAAUUAAAUACAAACAUUUAGUUGAGUUAAUAUUAUUUGCAUUUCCAAAUACCAAAUGAAAGCGUUUGACAUUAGAUUCAAAAGUCACUUUCUGUUCACUUAGUUUUCUUUCAAUAGCAAAAAGAUAUUUUGAAAAAUUAACAACCAAGUGAAAGAAAAUAGAGAAGACAACAGGAGAUAAGAACUUAGUCCGAAAAAUAAACAAAUAUCAACUUGUAGCACAAUCUUUCCAUUUCAAAUGUAAUCUUCACUUGAUACAACAUUUAAUGAUAACACAAAUAAACCCUUAUUUUUCAUCCUCAGUGGAACCACUGGAAUGAAAGAUGCUAUUAGUACAGAGCUUAUUUAAGUAGUCCAGCCUUAAGGGGAACUGCUGUAACAUAAUGAAAAAAAGUCAUCGGUACAAAACCGAGCAAGAAAGUAACACAGUUAUUAUCAAAACAAAGUA
rnacentral:misc_RNA from 1 species